GCAAAAUGUUAAUUUGAAUAAUCUGAAUUCUGUGUAAAGGUUUGUUAACGUGAUUUGUGAUCAUGAUGAUGUGGGAUGUGGUGGGGAAAAUUAGUUGCAUUUACAGAUUAAAGGUCAUGAAAGGAGGAAAGCACUUAACAAUAGCCACUAGGUUAUAUGGGCCUCGACUGAUGGUCUAGUUUCAAGAUGUGGGGAGGACCUGUUGUCCUGGCUCUGAAGUAGUCGCCUCAGAAUGGUACAGAUUGUGGAAGCUGGCAAAAUUAGAUGUUGUUUACCCUGCCUAGGUUGGUUUGGAGUGUAUAAACCUGAAAUCAUUAUGUUUAAGGUAGAGAACAUAGUGUGUAUAUUUUUAACAACUGGAUAAAGCAUAGAAAUACAAUAUAGAAAUAUUAAAUGCAAUUUUUAGAAUGCAAAAGGAUUACAGCACUUUUAAAGUCUGUCUUGGGAAAAGGGUGGGGUGGAUAACAUUUCCUUGCAGAGCAGACAAUAGAGGAAGUCCCAAGAUGCUUUAUUAGCUCCGUGUGUACCCCUUGGCCUGUCGGAAUGAGAGCUGAGAACCAGUCAUCCCUCAACAAAAUUGCCUCUUGAUUUCUACAUUGUGACAGCCCUUAUCAACUCUGAUGACUUCUGUGUCCAUCAUAUAGUAUUCGGACCAAUAGUGUUUGUACCAUUCAGGCAGUAUGCAGCUAUUAUAGUGUAAUGAAUAAAUUUUGAAAUAAUUUCAGUUGUAAAACCUCUUGAAUCUGGGUAAAAUGUUUUGCAUUAGUCAAAAUGCAAUUUUAAUCAUUCAUUGCAAUUGUGUGGAUGCGAAAGGACUAAAGAUCUUUAAAAUGGUUAUUGUGAAUGCGUGUGGUGGAUAACAUUUCUUUGCAGAGCAGGUUAUUGAAGUCGUCCCAAGUUUCCAUAGGAAGCUCCGUGUGUAUCCCCUUGGCCUGUCUGAAAGAGAGCUGGGAACCAGUCAUCCCUGUACAAAAUUGCCUCUUAAUUUUCACCUUAUGACUGCCCUUAUCACCCGAGAUGACUCCUGUGUUCAUCAGAUAGGAUUCGGACCAAUUGGGCCACAGUGCAGCUUUCAUGGUUUUGUGAAUAAAUUUGUUAUUUUAAUUUAAUGUGAAUUUAAAUGUCUUUUGUCUACAGAAAAGGCGCUAAAUGAGUCAUAAAGCGCAUUUUAUAAUAUUCAAUGCAAUUGUUAGAAUGCAAAAGGAAUUGAGAUCUUUCAAAUGGAUCAAUGGAAAAAGGGUGGGGAUAACGUUUCUUUGCAGAGCAGGUAUUGGAAGUAGCCCAAAGUUGCUGUAUCCCCCCUUGGCCUGCCUGAAACAGAACUGAGAUCCAAACAUCCCUCAACAAAACUGCCUCUUGAUUUCUGCCUUGUAACAGAUCUUAUUACCUGUGACUUCUGUGUCCGUCAUCAUAUAGGAUUCAGACCAAUAGGAUUGGGAUCAUGCAGCUUUAACAGUAUAAUGAACAAAUGAGUAUAACUUAUGUACUGGUAAUUACUUGAUAUUGUCCUUAUCAAAUUAAUUUAAAUAGUGUUUUUAUUAAUUGGUUGUGCAAACAGUUUAACAAAAGUAUACAUGUAAUCUUUCUUAUUCAAUUAAUGAAUUUUUAUUCACAUUAUAUUUUAUUGAGCGCUGUAAUUAGCAAUUAAAUACAGAAUUUAUUUAUUUCAAAUGGUUAAUAAAUGGGGAGGGCUGGAGAAACGUUUGUUUACAGUAAUUUUGCAGAUUAUUAAAUGGCAGUAUCCCAAAGAGAAGUAUAAUUCUACAUGUUCAUCACCAUGGCCUGAAUGUAGAAUAUCAACUUGUGGGAGUUGGUCUCCGAAUAUCCCGCUCAACUAAAAUGGCUGUUGGUUUCUACCAUUUCACCAUCUGGAAUCACCUCCUGACCCUUGUCUGACCAUCUUGGGGUCCUGCGUGGGGCAAUGGCUGUUGACCAGCUUCAUCCAGGCAUCUGUUUUCUGAGCGAGUUUCUCAAGAUGUCCCCACGUCUUGCCCAUCAACAUGUCUGAUUUUUUUACCUUUUACCCCUUUUGGCGAGGCCCGAGUGGAAUGAUUGCCCUUUAUUUGCAACCGUGUGGUAACUAUAAAAAAAGUGGUUAGUUGUGUGUAUUUUUUUAUAUGGAAGAUAGCAUUUUAUAAAUGAAAAACAAUUUUUUCUAUUCAACUAGCCUAUAUUGUCCAUGUUAUGAUACUUAACUGCAGUUCUUUAAAUUGUUUGAAAGUGGGAAUGGGUGGAAAAGCAUUUCUUUACAGAGCAGAAAAUGAAGUUAUCUAAUUGCCGCACGACUCCCUCAUCAAUGCCCGUCUGUUGAAUGUCCAUGCAUAGAAGUUCAUUAACAAAUGUUCCGACGAAUUUUCUUCCUAACUUUGACGACCCUUUUUCACUUGUGACAAUCCAUUCAACGAUUGGACCAUUCAACCACUCAUUUUCGUGGAGGUACUCAAGCGGAUUGAAAAGGUAUUGCAUCACUGAUGGUAAUUCUGUACCUUGUCUGAGUAUCGGCUGCAGCACAGUAUUUGAAUUAGUUAAGUGAUUUUAAAAUUGUAGUUUGCUAAUUUUGAGAUUAAAUGUUGAUCGUGCAAUUAUGUUUUUUAAUGUGAGUUACUAAAGACAAAGACUGUUUACUCAAUGAAAUUAACAAUGUACUUCUUACAUGUAUGUGAAUAUGAAAGGGGUGGGGAAACAUUUUCUAUGCAGUAAUUUGCAGAGACAAGAGGUGUCUUGAAUGCUGUAAAAAGCCGUCUCCUAGACCUGUUAACAGAACGUCCACAGAUCCCAUUGGUAAUCUAAAAGCCCUCAACAAUAUUGCCUCCUUGGGUGGUUCCUCGUCGCCAUACUUGGACCUGUUUUGUCCAGACUAUUAAUGCCAUCCAGCCCAUCAGUUUUCUUGGGAUACCCAUUUGGACAGACUCCUGUUUCAUAUUUUGCUGUUAAAGGUAUGCAACUAUAAUUUUGAAGUUUUAGCUGACAAAAAGAUCUCACACAUGGUUAAGAAGGAUCAGAAAGAUGAUCAAGUUCAAUUGACCUUCAAAAGAAAAAAAAGAUUAUAAAAGAAGCUAGACAUUUAUAAGUGAAGAUGAUAUGCAAUGUGUGUUUGAAAGAAAAGAAGGGGUUGGAGUAACAUUCAUUUGCAGCAUAGACAAAGUAGUUUGUUAAAUAUAGAGCAAAGAGCUCGCAAAAUGUUAAUUUGAAUAAUCUGAAUUCUGUGUAAAGGUUUGUUAACGUGAUUUGUGAUCAUGAUGAUGUGGGAUGUGGUGGGGAAAAUUAGUUGCAUUUACAGAUUAAAGGUCAUGAAAGGAGGAAAGCACUUAACAAUAGCCACUAGGUUAUAUGGGCCUCGACUGAUGGUCUAGUUUCAAGAUGUGGGGAGGACCUGUUGUCCUGGCUCUGAAGUAGUCGCCUCAGAAUGGUACAGAUUGUGGAAGCUGGCAAAAUUAGAUGUUGUUUACCCUGCCUAGGUUGGUUUGGAGUGUAUAAACCUGAAAUCAUUAUGUUUAAGGUAGAGAACAUAGUGUGUAUAUUUUUAACCACUGGAUAAAGCAUAGAAAUACAAUAUAGAAAUAUUAAAUGCAAUUUUUAGAAUGCAAAAGGAAUACAGCACUUUUAAAGUCUGUCUUGGGAAAAGGGUGGGGUGGAUAACAUUUCCUUGAAGAGCAGACAAUAGAGGAAGUCCCAAGAUGCUUUAUUAGCUCCGUGUGUACCCCUUGGCCUGUCGGAAUGAGAGCUGAGAACCAGUCAUCCCUCAACAAAAUUGCCUCUUGAUUUCUACAUUGUGACAGCCCUUAUCACCUCUGAUGACUUCUGUGUCCAUCAUAUAGUAUUCGGACCAAUAGUGCUUGUUCCAUUCAGGCAUAGUAGCUAUUAUAAUGUAAUGAAUAAAUUAUGAAAUAAUUUCAGUUGUAAAACCUCUUGAAUCGGGUAAAAUGUUUUACAUUAGUCAAAAUGCAAUUUUAAUCAUUCAUUGCAAUUGUGUGGAUGCGAAAGGACUAAAGAUCUUUAAAAUGGUUAUUGUGAAUGCGUGUGGUGGAUAACAUUUCUUUGCAGAGCAGGUUAUUGAAGUCGUCCCCAAGUUUCCAUAGGAAGCUCCGUGUGUAUCCCCUUGGCCUGUCUGAAAGAGAGCUGGGAACCAGUCAUCCCUGUACAAAAUUGCCUCUUAAUUUCCACCUUAUGACUUCCCUUAUCACCCGAGAUGACUCCUGUGUCCAUCAGAUAGGAUUCGGACCAAUUGGGCCACAGUGCAGCUUUCAUGGUUUUGUGAAUAAAUUUGUUAUUUUAAUUUAAUGUGAAUUUAAAUAUGUCUUUUGUCAACAGAAAAGGUGCUAAAUGAGUCAUAAUGCGCAUUUUAUAAUAUUCAAUGCAAUUGUUAGAAUGCAAAAGGAAUUGAGAUCUUUCAAAUGGAUCAAUGGAAAAAGGGUGGGGAUAACGUUUCUUUGCAGAGCAGGUAUUGGAAGUAGCCCGAAGUUGCUGUAUCCCCCCUUGGCCUGCCUGAAACAGAACUGAGAUCCAAACAUCCCUCAACAAAACUGCCUCUUGAUUUCUGCCUUGUAACAGAUCUUAUUACCUGUGACUUCUGUGUCCGUCAUCAUAUAGGAUUCAGACCAAUAGGAUUGGGAUCAUGCAACUUUAACAGUAUAAUGAACAAAUGAGUAUAACUUAUGUACUGGUAAUAACUUAAUUGAUAUUGUCCUUGUCAAAUUAAUUUAAAUAGUGUUUUUAUUAAUUGGUUGUGCAAACAGUUAAACAAAAGUAUACAUGUAAUCUUUCUUAUUCAAUUAAUGAAUUUUUAUUCACAUUAUAUUUUAUUGAGCACUGUAAUUAGCAAUUAAAUACAGAAUUUAUUUAUUUCAAAUUGUUAAUAAAUGGGGAGGGCUGGAGAAACGUUUGUUUACAGUAAUUUUGCAGAUUAUUACAUGGAAGUAUCCCAAAGAGAAGUAUAAUCCUACAUGUUCAUCACCAUGGCCUGAAUGUAGAAUAUCAACUUGUGGGAGUUGGUCUCCGAAUAUCCCGCUCAACUAAAAUGGCUGUUGGUUUCUACCAUUUCACCAUCUGGAAUCACCUCCUGACCCUUGUCUGACCAUCAUGGGGUACUGCGUGGGGCAAUGGCUGUUGACCAGCUUCAUCCAGGCAUCUGUCCUCUGAGCGAGUUUCUCAAGCUGUCCCAACGUCUUGCCCAUCAACAUGCCUGAUUUUUUUACCUUUUACCCCUUUUGGCGAGGCCCGAGUGGAAUGAUUGCCCUUUAUUUGCAACCGUGUUCGUAACUAUAAAAAAGAGGUUAGUUGUGUGUAUUUUUUUUAUAUGGAAGAUAGCAUUUUAUAAAUGAAAAACAAUUUCUUCUAUUCAACUAGCCUAUAUUGUCCAUGUUAUGAUACUUACUGCAGUUCUUUAAAUUGUUUGAAAGUGGGAUGAAAGUGGGAAUGGGUGGAAAAGCAUUUCUUUACAGAGCAGAAAAUGAAGUUAUCUAAUUGCCGCACGACUCCCUCAUCAAUGCCCGUCUGUUGAAUGUCCAUGCAUAGAAGUUCAUUAACAAAUGUUCUGACGAAUUUUCUUCCUAACUUUGACGACCCUUUUUCACUUGUGACAAUCCAUUCAACCAUUGGACCAUUCAACCACUCAUUUUCGUGGAGGUACUCAAGCGGAUUGAAAAGGUAUUGCAUCACUGAUGGUAAUUCUGUACCUUGUCUGAGUAUCGGCUGCAGCCCAGUAUUUGAAUUAGUUAAUUGAUUUUAAAAUUGUAGUUUGCUAAUUUUGAGAUUAAAUGUUGAUCGUGCAAUUAUGUUUUUUAAUGUGAGUUACUAAAGACAAGACUGUUUACUCAAUGAAAUUAACAAUGUACUUCUUACAUGUAUGUGAAUAUGAAAGGGGUGGGGAAACAUUUUCUAUGCAGUAAUUUGCAGAGACAAGAGGUGUCUUGAAUGCUGUAAAAAGCCGUCUCCUAGACCUGUUAACAGAACGUCCACAGAUCCCAUUGGUAAUCUAAAAGCCCUCAACAAUAUUGCCUCCUUGGGUGGUUCCUCGUCGCCAUACUUGGACCUGUUUUGUCCAGACUAUUAAUGCCAUCCAGCCCAUCAGUUUUCUUGGGAUACCCAUUUGGACAGACUUCUGUUUCAUUUUUUGCUGUUAAAGGUAAUCUAGUAUGCAACUAUAAUUUUGAAGUUUUAGCUGACAAAAAGAUCUCACACAUGGUUAAGAAGGAUCAGAAAGAUGAUCAAGUUCAAUUGACCUUCAAAAGAAAAAAAAGAUUAUAAAAGAAGCUAGACAUUUAUAAGUGAAGAUGAUAUGCAAUGUGUGUUUGAAAGAAAAGAAGGGGUUGGAGUAACAUUCAUUUGCAGCAUAGACAAAGUAGUUUGUUAAAUAUAGAGCAAAGAGCUCGCAAAAUGUUAAUUUGAAUAUUCUGGAUUCUGUGUAAAGGUUUGUUAACGUGAUUUGUGAUCAUGAUGAUGUGGGAUGUGGUGGGGAAAAUUAGUUGCAUUUACAGAUUAAAGGUCAUGAAAGGAGGAAAGCACUUAACAAUAGCCACUAGGUUAUAUGGGCCUCGACUGAUGGUCUAGUUUCAAGAUGUGGAGAGGGCCUGUUGUCCUGGCUCUGAAGUAGUCGCCUCAGAAUGGUACAGAUUGUGGAAGCUGGCAAAAUUAGAUGUUGUUUACCCUGCCUAGGUUGGUUUGGAGUGUAUAAACCUGAAAUCAUUAUGUUUAAGGUAGAGAACAUAGUGUGUAUAUUUUUAACAACUGGAUAAAGCAUAGAAAUACAAUAUAAAAAUAUUAAAUGCAAUUUUUAGAUUGCAAAACGAAUACAACACUUUUAAAGUCUGUAUUGGGAAAAGGGUGGGGUGGAUAACAUUUCCUUGCAGAGCAGACAAUAGAGGAAGUCCCAAGAUGCUUUAUUAGCUCCAUGUGUACCCCUUGGCCUGUCGGAAUGAGAGCUGAGAACCAGUCAUCCCUCAGCAUAAUUGCCUCUUGAUUUCUACAUUGUGACAGCCCUUAUCACCUCUGAUGACUUCUGUGUCCAUCAUAUAGUAUUCGGACCAAUAGUGUUUGUACCAUUCAGGCAUAGUAGCUAUUAUAGUGUAAUGAAUGAAUUAUGAAAUAAUUUCAGUUGUAAAACCUCUUGAAUCGGGUAAAAUGUUUUACAUUAGCCAAAUGCAAUUUUAAUCAUUCAUUGCAAUUGUGUGGAUGCGAAAGGACUAAAGAUCUUUAAAAUGGUUAUUGUGAAUGCGUGUGGUGGAUAACAUUUCUUUGCAGAGCAGGUUAUUGAAUUCGUCCCAAGUUUCCAUAGGAAGCUCCGUGUGUAUCCCCUUGGCCUGUCUGAAAGAGAGCUGGGAACCAGUCAUCCCUGUACAAAAUUGCCUCUUAAUUUCCACCUUAUGACUGCCCUUAUCACCCGAGAUGACUCCUGUGUCCAUCAGAUAGGAUUCGGACCAAUUGGGCCACAGUGCAGCUUUCAUGGUUUUGUGAAUAAAUUUGUUAUUUUAAUUUAAUGUGAAUUUAAACAUGUCUUUUGUCUACAGAAAAGGUGCUAAAUGAGUCAUAAAGCGCAUUUUAUAAUAUUCAAUGCAAUUGUUAGAAUGCAAAAGGAAUUGAGAUCUUUCAAAUAAAUCAAUGGAAAAAGGGUGGGGAUAACGUUUCUUUGCAGAGCAGGUAUUGGAAGUAGCCCAAAGUUGCUGUAUCCCCCCUUGGCCUGCCUGAAACAGAACUGAGAUCCAAACAUCCCUCAACAAAACUGCCUCUUGAUUUCUGCCUUGUAACAGAUCUUAUUACCUGUGACUUCUGUGUCCGUCAUCAUAUAGGAUUCAGACCAAUAGGAUUGGGAUCAUGCAGCUUUAACAGUAUAAUGAACAAAUGAUGUACUGGUAAUUACUUGAUAUUGUCCUUGUCAAAUUAAUUUAAAUAGUGUUUUUAUUAAUUGGUUGUGCAAACAGUUAAACAAAAGUAUACAUGUAAUCUUUCUUAUUCAAUUAAUGAAUUUUUAUUCACAUUAUAUUUUAUUGAGCGCUGUAAUUAGCAAUUUAAUACAGAAUUUAUUUAUUUCAAAUUGUUAUUAAAUGGGGAGGGCUGGAGAAACGUUUGUUUACAGUAAUUUUGCAGAUUAUUAAAUGGAAGUAUCCCAAAGAGAAGUAUAAUUCUACAUGUUCAUCACCAUGGCCUGAAUGUAGAAUAUCAACUUGUGGGAGUUGGUCUCCGAAUAUCCCGCUCAACUAAAAUGGCUGUUGGUUUCUACCAUUUCACCAUCUGGAAUCACCUCCUGACCCUUGUCUGACCAUCAUGGGGUCCUGCGUGGGGCAAUGGCUGUUGACCAGCUUCAUCCAGGCAUCUGUUUUCUGAGCCGAGUUUCUCAAGCUGUCCCCACGUCUUGCCCAUCAACAUGUCUGAUUUUUUACCUUUUACCCCUUUUGGCGAGGCCCGAGUGGAAUGAUUGCCCUUUAUUGGCAACCGUGUUGGUAACUAUAAAAAAAGUGGUUUGUUGCGUGUAUUUUUUUAUAUGGAAGAUAGCAUUUUAUAAAUGAAAAACAAUUUCUUCUAUUUAACUAGCCUAUAUUGUCCAUGUUAUGAUACUUACUGCAGUUCUUUAAAUUGUUUGAAAGUAGGAAUGGGUGGAAAAGCAUUUUUUUACAGAGCAGAAAAUGAAGUUAUCUAAUUGCCGCACGACUCCCUCAUCAAUGCCCGUCUGUUGAAUGUCCAUGCAUAGAAGUUCAUUAACCAAUGUUUCGACGAAUUUUCUCUCUAACUUUGACGACCCUUUUUCACUUGUGACAAUCCAUUCAACCAUUGGACCAUUCAACCACUCAUUUUCGUGGAGGUAAUCAAGCAGAUUGAAAAGGUAUUGCAUCACUGAUGGUAAUUCUGUACCUUGUCUGAGUAUCGGCUGCAGCACAGUAUUUGAAUUAGUUAAGUGAUUUUAAAAUUGUAGUUUGCUAAUUUUGAGAUUAAAUGUUGAUCGUGCAAUUAUGUUUUUUUAAUGUUAGUUACUAAAGACAAGACUGUUUACUCAAUGAAAUUAACAAUGUACUUCUUACAUGUAUGUGAAUAUGAAAGGGGUGGGGAAACAUUUUCUAUGCAGUAAUUUGCAGAGACAAGAGGUGUCUUGAAUGCUGUAAAAAGCCGUCUCCUAGACCUGUUAACAGAACGUCCACAGAUCCUAUUGGUAAUCAAAAAGCCCUCAACAAUAUUGCCUCCUUGGGUGGUUCCUCGUCGCCACACUUGGACCUGUUUUGUCCAGACUAUUAAUGCCAUCCAGCCCAUCAGUUUUCUUGGGAUACCCAUUUGGACAGACUUCUGUUUCAUUUUUUGCUGUUAAAGGUAUGCAACUACAAUUUUGAUAUUUUGGCUGACAAAAAGAUCUCACACAUGGUUAAGAAGGAUCAGAAAGAUCAGCAUGUUCAAUUGACCUUCAAAAGAAAAAAAAACAUUAUAAAAGAAGCUAGACAUUUAUAAGUGAAAUGAUAUGCAGUUGUUAUUUCAGCAUAAAAUGUGUGUUUGAAAAAAAGAAGGGGUUGGAGUAACAUUCAUUUGCAGCAUAGACAAAGUAGUUUUUUAAAUAUAGAGCAAAGAGCUCGCAAAAUGUUAAUUUGAAUAAUCUGGAUUCUGUGUAAAGGUUUGUUAACGUGAUUUGUGAUCAUGAUGAUGUGGGAUGUGGUGGGGAAAAUUAGUUGCAUUUACAGAUUAAAGGUCAUGAAAGGAGGAAAGCACUUAACAAUAGCCAGUAGGUUAUAUGGGACUCGACUGAUGGUCUAGUUUCAAGAUGUGGGGAGGUCCUGUUGUCCUGGCUCUGAAGUAGUCGCCUCAGAAUGGUACAGAUUGUGGAAGCUGGCAAAAUUAGAUGUUAUUUACCCUGCCUAGGUUGGUUUGGAGUGUAUAAACCUGAAAUCAUUAUGCUUAAGGUAGAGAACAUAGUGUGUAUAUUUUUAACAACUGGAUAAGCAUAGAAAUACAAUAUAAAAAUAUUAAAUGCAAUUUUUAGAAUGCAAAAGGAAUACAACACUUUAAAGUCUGUCUUUGGAAAAGGGUGGGGUGGAUAACAUUUCCUUGCAGAGCAGACAAUAGAGGAAGUCCCAAGAUGCUUUAUUAGCUCCAUGUGUACCCCUUGGCCUGUCGGAAUGAGAGCUGAGAACCAGUCAUCCCUCAACAAAAUUGCCUCUUGAUUUCUACAUUGUGACAGACCUCUGAUGACUUCUGUGUCCAUCAUAUAGUAUUGGGACCAAUAGUGUUUGUACCAUUCAGGCAGUAUGCAGCUAUUCUAGUGUAAUGAAUAAAUUUUGAAAUAAUUUCAGUUGUAAAACCUCUUGAAUCUGGGUACAAAUCAUUUAUUUGUUUUUCGUGAUGUCAAAUGAUUAAGCAUUUAUCAGAAACUAUGUGUACAUUAAUUUAAUAGGAUCAUAAUGCAUAAUUGAUAGGGAGGGUGGGACAAAACAUUUGUUACAGAGCGAAUGCAAGUGAAUGAGUAGAUGCCCCCUUGGAUCUGGCUGGCAGACCUGUUUGGAUCACAUCUCAAUGUUUACAGGGUUUGGUGAAAUUAAGUGUCCUGACAUGGAAACUCAAACUUGUGUGCAUCUUGCCUUCUGGAACAAAUUUCUUCUUGUGUAUGAAGAUGCUUUCUGUAUGGUAUGAAUGCUCCAUUUAACUUUUUUGUGUGUUGUAACCUGUGUACAAAUGCUACUCCUGCCAAAAUAGUUAUUUUGAAUUAGUUGGUAAACAUAGAUAUAGAAGUAAGAAGUAAGUUUUGUUAAAUGUUUUUUAUGUAUAAAAAUGGGAACGGUUGAGGGAAGUUUCUUUAUAGAACACAGACCAGUAAAGUUAUACUUGCUCAUGACCAUCCUGAAGGAUGUUCUCACAAGAGUGGUUGUCAGCAGUCUCCAUCCACAGAUCUCCCCUGUGAUUACUUCUGUGCGUUCACCCUUUUAUUAUCUCGUUUUUACCUGGUUUUGCAGUUUAUUAACAUAAUGGUAUUGCACUAUUUGAUAAACAAUUACUACUUCUUUUUUGUUUGUAAAAUUAAUUCUCAUCUAGUACAGCUUUUGAUGAACAACAAUAAUAAGGCAACUAUUGAAAACUUUAGGUAUGCUGUAUUCUUAAGCUUGACAAUUCUUAUAACUUGUACUUGUUGUUUGUAUUACUUUGUAAUAAUUAAGCAGUUAUAAAUUAGGGAAGAGGUGGGAAAAAGUUUAUUUACAGAAGAAUUAGCUGUAGAAGGUUGCACAAGUCCUGUAAUGAAGCCAGUACCAUGGCCUGUCAGUAGAAUUUCUUCAAUUGCCAAAGGCUACAGAAUUUGAUUAAGUUAUUUCCUGCACAUUAACCUUCAACAAUUGUAAUUUUACAUCUUGCAAUCUACAAAACUCUUCAACCCAGUGCACAAUCACAUUAUUUUCUUUACCACUAGAGUAAGUCAUCCCCUUAUGUGAAUUCUACAUUGAAUUAAAAUUGUGUAAGAAUGAUUAAUGAAUACUUCUAAUAAUUAUUUAGUUUGUCAAUUAUUGACAUAUUGUUUCUACGUCUCUUACUUUGUCAAAUAGCUGUAUUUUCACUGAACCGAUAGUGUUUAAAGUUAUUGCUCAAUAAUAAAUGUAUGCAUAAAAUAUGGAGUUUCGUUGAAGCGUCAUUGCAGAUUUAUCAUCGGAGGAACGAGGCAUGGUCCAAUAUGGUGUUGAAGAUGUUUACAGAGGCUUGUCAUAGAUGUGAGAACUUGUUGUUGAGUGUUACAGAAAGUUAAAUCUAGAUUAGGUUUCUUCUGCCCAUGACCACUGAAAUCCGCCCAUCCUGCUCACUACUCUACCAACUCUUCUACUCGUGUAUAACAGGUGUCAUACUUUCCAGACCACUUUACUUUUUAUGGCCAAUGUUCACCUCUGUGGUAUGCAUGAAUGCAAAAUAUAAUUUAAAAUGAGGUUUACCAUUAUAAGCCAUUUAUAAAUCACUUGAUAUUGUGGAAAUGUAGCUAUUCAUUACUGGUUGACUGAAAUAUAGUUGACUGAAAUAUAAUCAUCGAAAAGUUAGUAAUGUAGCUGAUAAACAACCUGUUACUGGAACAUUCAUCCAUCUCCUAAGGAAGACACAACAUGCCUUCACAUCCUCAGCACUGUUCUACUUGUGUAAAUAGGUCAUAUCUUCUUGACCAAAUUUCUCAUUUGGGUGAAGGCUUCCCUCAUAUGGUAGGAAUGUUCCAUAUUUUUCUUUUUCAAAUGCUUUUAGGAAUUGUUAUGUUUGUUAGAAAUACAUGUAGCUGUGUUUAACUGAUGAAAUUAAAUGGUCGGAAAGUAAAUAGUUAUAAAAUAUAUGGCAAAAACCACAAAUACUUGUCUGUAAAGUUGUUUUUUAUAUUCAGUAACAAUAUGGGAUGGGUGGAGCAAAGUAUCUUUGCAGAUCUUCUUGCAAGAGAUAGGAGCUAGUCAAAGUAACCUUUCCAGAAAAUAGCAUGUGAGUGGUUAUCCGCUCUCCAAAUCAACUAAAUGUGAACACUUCCUGAGUGGUGGUUACUGGUUGUUUCAACUGUGUAGAUCUUCACCGGCCCAUGAUCCUUUCCCCUUGCCAGCCGACCACAUGUAUGCCCAUGCAUGAAAGAGAUCCCCCAAAAAUGUAUGUUAAUGAUGUUGUAUUAACAAAAUCAAUGCUGAUUUUUUUAAAUUUAUUUACCGAUUUAUGAUCAGAAUUAAAGAAUUCCUAAAAUUUCCUUUGUGCUAUAAGUGAUCUCUAAUCAGUUUAUUAUUUUUUAUGUAUUGUGUGCAUGUGAGCAGGGGAGCAGAGAAAGACUAUCUUUGCAGGUCACUGUUAAUGCAAGGUAUGAAAGCAGUUCAUCGUCCUGUUUCCAGCCAUGUUUCAAAGACCAACAUCUAUUAUAAGGUUUGAGCAUGUGCUUAAUCUAAUCUUAAAACCUGAUUUGAAAGGUAAAAGUAGCUUUAAUAUGCCAUGAUUGUCGUUGGUAUGCUAAUUCCUAAAGAUCUCGGCAAGUUGUGAGUUUUCCAGAUUUGUAUGUCAAAAUCACAACAAAUACUAAAAUUGUGUCAUUUACAGUUUUAUCAUAUAAAAUUGAAAACUUUUAUGUCAAUUUGUACUAUGCACAAGGGAAGAAAGGAGAUAUUUUUUUUGCAGAUGUUUCAAGUUUGCUUAGAAAAAGGUCCAAUAUCAGAUUCCCAUGCUGCCACCUUGGCAUUUCCAACAGAUACAACUUGAAGGGUAGCUUCGAUAAGUUUUUAAGUCAAAGUACAUUAAUAUAAAUCUUAUAUUUCUUAGGCAUAUCUUUCAUUGUUUAUAAAAUAGGCAUAUCUUUCAUUGUUUAUAAAAAUAACUUCUUUUUUACUGAAAAGCUUUGUUGACAGAUUUUACCUGAAUGUUAUUUUAAUGCUGUGAUUGUAUGUUGUUUGGGGAAGGGAUAUUGGAUUUUAUGUAGAUUAUAGGUAAUGCACAGUAACAACAACUGCCAAAGCUGAUGGCCAGAUUCCACGUUAAUUCAUUGGAACCCUGAUAUGAAAAUGUUUAGCAGCCAGUUGAGGCUCGCCGUUUCUUCCAUUUCAUCGGGCAGAAAGAGUUUCUUGUGGACAGAUGAGGCAUUAAUGGCCCUUGGCAAGUUGAUUAAACAUUGUAAGAAAAGUAUGUGAAAAAACGUUCUUCAACUCUGAAUUAUUCUACAUCAAAGUAUGAAUAUGUUUUAUCAUUUUCCUAUGUAUCUGGUUUAAUAGGGAAUACAAAAACUUGUGCCACAAGUCUCUCAUUUAAUGCCACCAGGAAGUACACAACUUGUGUUACUUGUGCUAUCUUUGUUUGCAUAAAUAGCAAUUUUACAUAAUAGAUGUUGUGUUUUGCUUUUUUGGGUGGGAUGGAGAAAUAUCUUUACAGAGCAUUUCUGAGAAAAUAUUCAAGACCAAAGUCCCUCCUAGAAGCUGUAUGACUUUCAAGGUGUCCAUAUUCGAAUGAUUGUCUGAAACCUACCAGAGUAAUGUUCUUUCGUUAACUUAAGAGCAAUUAAAGCAUUCUAUGUCUUCUGAAAACUGGUAACUGAAGUAUAGCAUGGAACUUGAAGGUAUGACUGAAGGAUCUACAUGUAUUAAAUAUUACAUUUCUGAUCUUUACCAUGUUUAAUGCAAUAACUUUUAUUGCAAUGUGUUUUGCAGCGAGAUGUCUUUUUGGGGCAGGGGAAAACUAACAUUUUUUUUACAGAUUGAGAAUGGUUAAAGAGGUGGGGUUGAUGCUGACUGCCCUUAUUCUUACCCUUUGUGAGGUUGACCUUGAAGCCGGCACUUUUAGACAGUAAAAAAGCUCACAGUGUUCCCUGGCAAGUUGAUGACUAGCAUAUCCAGGCAUACUUUUCUCCUGCAGACAUGUUUUUGAAUAACAUUAAUCGGCUCUUUUGUCUUAUCAGUACAGACUAAAGAUCUAAAAGUUUUUGAAGUAUCUGACUUUAUUGAUGGUAAUUUGAUGCAUGGAUUUUGAUUUGUUCAAGGUUUAUAUUUGAUGUGAUUAUGCAUAUGAAGGUAUGGGGCAGAAAGCAGAUUGUUUAGUUUUGGCGGAAUUGGGUUACAUUUGAUUUUUUAAUGCAAUGGUUGUAUGUGGCUUGGGGUGGGGAUAUUACCUUUCUUUGUAAAUUAUAGGUAUUGCAGAGUAACAUACCCUGUUAUGCUGAAGGCCAGAUUCCACAGUCAUUCAUUGGUACCCUUAUUUGUCUAGCCGCCAUUUUUGAGCUCUCCAUUUCUUCCAUGACACCAGGUGGAAAGAGUUUCUCAUGAUGGACAGUGCAGAUGAUGUUAUAAUUGGCAUUGGCAAGUUGAUUUCAGAUUGAAAGAUAAGAUGUUUGAAAGACAGCAAGUUGGUUAACUCAUAAUUACUUAUGCAUUAAAGCAUUUUUAAGUUGAUCACUUUCUUAUUUGAGUUUAAUAGAGAAUACAAGAACUAAUCGUGCUAGUCUCUCAUUUAAUUCCUCAAGGCAGAACAAAACUAGUGUAACUAGUAAAAUCUUUGUUUGCUCCAAUAGCCAUUUUACAUAAUAGAUGUUGUGUUUCGAUGUUUGGGUUGGGUCAAGAAAUAUCUUUACAGAGCAUUUUGUCGAGGCAAUAUUCAAGACCCGAAUACCACCUAGAAGCUCGCCUGUUGGUAUGACUACAAGGUUUCCAUAUCUAAGUGGUUGUCUCAAACUAACCAGAGUGACAGUUCUUUGGGUCAAGGGUUGACAUAUAUUAUAGCGUUCUUUCUCUGAGAACUGGUAACUGUAGUAUUGCGUGGAAGGUAUGACUUAAGUACAUAGAUGCAAACAAUCAUACAUUCUGUUCUUGACCAUUCCUUAUGCAAUUUUUCUUUGUGAACUACUGAACAUUUAAUGCAAUCUGUUUAGCUGUAACAUAUUUCUUUCUGUGCUGGGGAAUACUUACUUUCUUUGCAGAUUAGGAAUAGUUAAAGACAUGCAGGUUAUUGGUGACUGCCCUUGUUUUUAGUACCCUUGGAAAGGUGUGCGGUUGACCAUCAAGCCAUCACUUAGACCAUAUAGAUGCUGAAUGACCCUUGGCAAGGUGAUAACAUGCAUUUCCAGGCACAUCUAUCUUUCCUCUGCAGAAAAACUGUUGUUUUUUUAGCUAAGAAACGAUAUUAACUUAUGGCAUGCAGGCUUGACAUGAUUGUGACUCGCAUUAAUCUGCUCUUCUCCCUAACAUUUACAGCUAGAUCGAAACAAUUUUAGAAGUAUUAUGAUAUUAUUUUGGCUUUUGUGAUACAAAGAUUUUGAAUAUUUUCAAGGUUUAUAAAAAAUGCUUAAGCACAAUAUGUAUGGGGCAGAUAGUUAUUUGUGUAUGUAUUGCAUAACUUGCAUUUCAUUCAUCAAAGCAUUAAUUUGUUUCAACAUUUUCUUAUUCCAUUCUAAUAGAUAAUGCUCCUAAUACUACUUGUCUCAUAUUCAAUCCCUCAGACAUUACAAAACUAGUGUAACUAGUACACUCUUAGUUUGUAUAAAUAGCAAUUAAACAUAAUAGAUGUUGUGUUUCGCUGUUUGGGGUCGGGUGGAUAAUAUCUUUACAGAGCAUUUUGGAAAAAGAAGGAAAAAAACCAAAGUUCGCCUAGAAGCUAGCCUAUCAGUAUGACUACAAGGAGUCCAUAUCUAAGUGGUUGUCUCAAGUAACAAGAGCAACAGUUCCUUGGUUCAAGGUGAUGAAAUCUAUGACCCUUUGCAAUUGUAUUACUUGCAUAUCCAGGCAUAUCUAUCUUUCCUUUGCAGAAAAACUGGCUUUUCUAGCUCAUAAAUGAUAAAACAUUACUGCAUGCAUGUUUGACAUGUUUGUAAAUCACAUUUAUCAGCUGUUUUGUCUUGACAGUUACAUAUUAGAUCUAGAAGUUUUAGAAGUAUCUGACAUUAUUUAUUGUAAUGAGACAUAUAGAUUCUGAAUUUGUUCAAAUUUAUAGUUUAUAUGUUUAUGCAUAAGAGAGUAUGAGAACAGAAAGCAAAUGUUGUAGUCCUUAUUAUACUUGCUUAAAUUAAUGGGUUUUUAAUGCAAUGGUUGAAUGUGGUUUGGGUCGGGGAAAUUGCAUUCCUUUAUAGAUUAAAGGUAAUCCACAGUAGCAAUACCAGCUAAUGGUGAUGGCCAGAUUCCCCAGAUAUUCAUCGGAACCCUGAUUUGAAAAUGUCUUAGCUGCCAGUUGAGGCUUGCCGUUUCUUCCAUUUUACGAGGCAGAAGUGUUUCGCAAUCCAGAUGUUAUCAUGGGCCUUGGCAAGUUGAUGUAACAUUGUUAGAUAAUUGUUUGAAAGACAGCAAGUAUAGUGCAUCAAAUCGUUAAUGAUUCAUUAUGUUUUUUAAUGCCAGUUUAAUAGAGAAUACAAGAACAAAUACUACAAGUCUCUUCAAUUUCUCUAGGCAGUUCAAAACUUUUGUUACUAGUGCAAUCUUUGUUUGCAUAAAAAGCAAUAUUACAUAAUAGAUGCUGUGUUUUUAUGUUUGGGGUGUGUUGGAAAAAUAUUUUACAGAGCAUGUUAAAGAAAAUAUUCAAGACUCCAAGUCCUACCUAGAAGCUAGCCUGUUGGUAUCCAUAUCUGAGUGGUUGUCUCAAAUUACAAGAGUGUCAGUUUUUUGGUUCAACAUGUUUUCUAGAAGCCUUUGUCUUUUGAGAACUGGUAACGUAAGUAUUUUGUUGAAGGUAUUACGGAAAGAUUAAUGAAUCCAUUUCAGUUCUUGACCAUUUCUAACCCAAUCUUUGUUUAACUAAAGAACAUUUAUUGACAUGUGUUUGCCUGUGUUAUUUCUUUCUGGGUGGGGGAAAACUAACGUUUUUUUUACAGAUUAAGAAUGGUUAAAGACAUGCAGGUUAAUGGUGACAGCCCUUGAACUUAGUCCCCUUUGAAAGGUGUGAGGCUGACCAUGAAGCCAGCAAUUAGACUGUAAAGAAGCUCAGUGACCCCUGGCAAGUUGAUGACUGGCAUAUCUAGGCAUUAUCUAUUGCUGCUCUACAGAAGUGGUUUUCAAGCUAAGAAGUGAUUACAUGCAUGUAUAACAUGAAUGUGACCCACAUUAAUUGGCUUUUUUUGCCUUAACAGUUACAUACUAGAUCUAGAAGUUUUAGAAGUAUCUGACAUUUUUUGUGUAACGACUUACCAUGAUUUUGAAUAUGUUCUAGGCAGAAAGCAAAUUGUGUAGUAUUUGCAGAACUUGCAUUACAUUUAUAAUGGGUUUUUAUUAUAAUGGAUUUAUGUUCGGUUGGGGAAAUUACUUUUCUUUGUAGAUUAUAGGUAAAACACAGUAACAAAAUCUGCUCACGUUGAUUGCAAGAUUCCAGUCAUUCAUCGGAACCCUGAUUGGAAAGUGUCCAGCAGCCACUUUUGAGACUCCCAAUUUCAUUCAUUUUACUAGGUAGAAAGGGCUUAUCAAGGACAAAGCAGAUAUUCUCAUGGGCAGUGGAAAUUUGAUGUAAGAUUGUUAGAUCAUUGUUUAAAAACCAACCACAACAGCAAGUUGGUCAUUGUAAAUUAUUCAUGCAUCAAAGAAUUCAUUUGUUUCAUCCUUUUUUUUCCUAUUUAAUAGAGAAAACCAGAACCAAUACUAUUGGUUUCUCAUUCGAUUUCUUAAGGCAGUACGCACUGUAACAUAAUAUAUGUUGUCUUUGGUCUGUUUGGGGUGGGGUGGAGAAAUAUCUUUACAGAAAAUAAUGCGGAGGGAAACAUUACAGACUCCAGUCCAACCUAGAAGCUAUCGGAUUGGUAGGACUGCAAGGUGCCCAUAUUCCAUUUGUUGUCUCCAACUAAAGUUCUUUGGUUCAACGUGUUGGCAUCUAUUAUAGCUUUCUUGUCUUCUGAAAACUAGCUACUGAAGUAUUGCGUGGAAGGUAUGACAGAAGGAUCUACAUGUAUAAAAUAAUGCAUUUCUGUACUUGACAAAUUCUUAUGCAAUGAUUUCUGUGUUUAACUAAGAAACAUUUAUUGCCAUGUGUUUGGCCGUGAUAUUUCUUUCUGGGCAGGGGAAAACUAACUUUCUUUACAGAUUAAGAAUGGAUGUUCAGGUUAAUGGUGACUGACCUUUUUCUUAAGUCUCCCUUGAAAGGUGUGGGGGUGAACAUGAAGCAAGCAUCUAUAGACAGUUAAGAAGCCUAGUAACCCUUGGCGUGUUGAUUACUGACAUAUAUAGGCAUGUCUAUCUCGCCUUUGCAGAAAAACAUUAUUGCAUGCAUGUUUGACAUGUUUGUGAGUCACAUUAAUCACCUCUUUUAUCUUAACAGUUACAUACUAAAUCACACUGGAAUUUCAUAUUUCCAUUUUUUUAUUUACAGAUGAAAGUCCUGCUAUAAAAAAUUAAACUGCCAAAUAAUUUAGAAAUAUAGAAAUAAUUCAUGCAAAGAGGUUAUUUUAUAACAAGCUUAUAUAAACUGUAAACACAUUUUUUUAAAGCAUUUAGUGGAAAUAUAAUACUUUAAUCACUAGAUAUGAAAUUUACCUCUAUCAGACUGUGUUUUCUUACAUCUAUCAGUUUGUGUUUUCUUAAUCUAUAAGAUUGUGAUUUAAAAUACAAUAAUAUGUGACAUUUUUUUAACUUAGGGACCUGCCUUGGAAGAAAAUGUUUCUUGAUAAUUUUACAGACCAUCACCAAAUUGUUAAGAUGGCAUUGAAUUGAAAGAGCGCAGCACAUUCAGGCAAAUCAAACCCUGCCAAAAAAAUCUUUGUUUUUCCAGUUAAAUUUAUUGGAUAUUAUUGAUAUUUCAUUAAACUUUUUGGGGGGUUUAAAAAAUAGGUUGACGUCUCACUUGUUUGCAAAUAAUGUGAAAGGUUAACGGGAGAAACACAUGGGUACAUCCACUUAGCCAUUACAAUGAUAGAACAUUUUGAUCUGACAUUAUUUAUGGUUAUUAUAUACAUAGAUUUUGAAUUUGUUUAAGGUUUAUAGUUAAUUUGUUCAUACACUAAAGACUAAGAGUGGGCAGAAAGCAAAUUGUCUUGUUCUUUGCAGAAAUUGUGUUGCAUAAUGACUUGGAAGCAGUUUCUUGUUUGGAGGAUAGAGUGAUGAGUGUUAUAAAACUAAAUUUUGAAUUAUUAUUGUUUGCUUACAGUAACAGUCAUUUUAUUUCUUAUACAAGAAGUUGACUGUUGUUUUGUUUGUCAAGUGCACUUGUUUUGUGAAAAUGAUGUUGCCAGUUUGCAGUCCUCUUGAACUUCCUCUACAUCAGCAUAAACUUUAAACAUUUGUUUUUACAUUUAUUUCAAUGGAUUUUAUUUGUUAUUAUCCCUUUGUAAGCAAUAUAGUUUUUGUAAGCCAUCAUUUUUAGAAGUUGUCAUUAACUUGUAACUGCUUGAUUAAUUGUCAAUGUAAUACUGGUAUGGGGUGGGUUGACUUUAAUUUAGAGUUUUUUCAGAUCGAAGACAUGUUGUUCCUUCAAAGGAAACUACUUGGUGCAUGAUAUUGCAUCUGGUUUGAUCUUUGCUCAUUUGGUUUUUAUACUUUCUGGUUAAAAUGUUGAUAGUGUUCAGUUUUACACAUUAACUCGUAUUCAGACUUUAGUUCAGUAACUCUGCAUUUUUUUUGCACAGCAUAUGUGAAUGUUCCACACUAUUUGCUAGUAACACUCAUUAAUCCAGAAUAUGGAUGUGUUUAAGUUGAUCUCUUAAGCUGUUUGUGCCAGUGUUGAACUUCCCUUGCCUUUUGUUAACUAUUGUAUAAUCAUAUUAAGUCUUUAGUAAAAAGGGCUUUAUUGCUUUAUUUAAAGUACGACACAAGCAUGUAUAACUGUGUACAAACUAUGUAUAAGGGCCUAAAUUUUCUAAGACCUUCAUCAUUAUCUAGCCUACAUAAAAGAUGUUGUUUAAAUUAUAUAACUUGUAUCUAUGCAUGUUUCAAUAAAUAUUAACUAAGUAUUUAUAUAUUUGUGAAUGCUGUAAAUCCUCUGGUAUCUAUUUGUAUAAAUAACCUUUUGCCAGUUUCAUUUUGCCAGCAUGAAAGUUUGCUGCUUCUGUUAUUUGAUGAUCGGAUGCAUUUUAAAACUUCAACUGACGUUUAAUUUUAAUUUUUGUAAAACAGAAUACUGUAAUGGUUGUGUUGUGGUUUGUUUUCAUAUUAAAGGUAUAUAUUUAAAUAAUAUCAUAAUUUUUAUGAUGUAUGAAGUAAUUUUUCAAAUAUUAUCAUAAUGAUUAUGCUAAUUAUGAUGUUAUAAGCCCUUACAUUUAUUUCCUGCUUAUACUGACUAUAAUAGUGGAGCAUGUAUGCAGUUUUCAAUGUGUGCUUUCACAUUUAAAUGGACAAUUAAAUUAUGCUUAGUUUGGGGGAGGGGGGUAUGUGGUGACAACUUUCUUUCAAUUUUUUUCAGCCUUUCUUGUGUGUCCUGACGGGUGCUGUAAUUUUGUGUGGACAUGCACGUAACCAUUGUUUGUUUGUCUUUCGAAUACUUAAAUUUCAUCUUGUAGAGUGUAUUGAUAUGACUGGAAUAAAUUAUAAAAUAUACAUAAUAUGUAUAUUAAGGUUUAGUAAAGUGUUUGCUUACGAGUAAUAAUUAUUAAUAUUUGCUGUAAAUAUAUUGAUGACAUUGGGGAGGGAUGGUUGAUUACUUUCAAAUUUUCAGGCUCUGGUGUUAUGUUAUUGAAGGUAAAAAGGUAAAGAUUGGUCAGCCCAAAACAGGUAGCAUGCUUUCUUUCCAUGCAUACUAAACAUUUCAAGUUUUGUUGUUUCUUACGAUAGACCAUUACUUUGCCUGUUGAAAAGUUUGUUUACUCUUUCCAUGUAGUUACUAAUAAGAUCUACUUAAUCAUUUUCUUAUAAAUGGUUCUCUUUUUCUGUUGGAUGUUCCUACUUGUGAUUGGUUGGUAUUCACCUUCGUAAUGACUUACUUAUUUUUUAUUAAAAGUAAAUUUAUCCUCUAGUUUUAGGCUGAAAAAUAAAAUCUUGUAUCACACAUGAAUAUUGUGGGCUGUCAGAAAGGAGGUUUCUUUCCAGGUCAGUUGUUUGCAAUAAUGGCUUUCAUAUGAAGUAAGACUUAUUUGGUUUGUAGGUCUUUUUUGUUUAUCUUAAAUUCAAUUAGAAGUGUUUUGCUAUUACAAACAUUUUAAGACCAUUUGCUUACCAUGUACAUUUGCAAAACCGUUUGUAGUGCACUUUUUUUAUAGAGCACAAUUCCAUCUUUGCCGAUUGAAUUUUACUGAAUAUACUAAAUAUGUAUUUAUGUAAACCAAUUUAUCUGUUUCAUGUUAACAUCAUGUGAGUUGUUUUUUUUUCGAUUACCAGCACAUAACAAGUGGACAGAUGUGAUUGAAAAUUUAUUGGAUUUUGUUCAUAUAACUGAAAAUCGAAAUGCUUGUGUUUUUCUUAAGAUGUACAAUAUUUUAUGGUGAUAAUAUAACUGUUCUAUGCAAGCACUGAAAAUAACUUGUUUUGUGGUUGACUGAUUUUCUGGUAAAAGAGCCAUAUAAAUGUUGUGUGUUUGUUGGGGGGCGGGGAGGCGGUAAAUAUUUACUUUCUAUAUCUUUCAGCUUUGCUAGGGUGAUAUAUCGCUGCAUAUUUUGUAGAAGAACACUGGUAUUGUAGGUUUUCAUACUUAUCAUUCAUCUAAAUGAUAUUUUGCAAUCUGAGAUAAUAGAGCAUUUUGUUUAACUCACUUUUUAUGCCUUUAAAGCUAUUUUAAAAGAGCAAGUGUUAAGUUGUAUUAUAAAGCAUAUUUUACAUUUUUAAAAGUACUGAAGCGAUUUAAACUGUCUGGGGUGGGGAUUUUUAAUAAAUACUAGAUUCUUUCAGGGUGUGAUGUUGAGUUUGUGAAGGGUAAAGUUAGGAAAGUCAAAUUUGGAUGUUGAAUCGACUGGUAGACGGUUUGAAAUAGUACCCAUGCAUACUAACCCUUUAAAAUAUUUGUAGGGGCUGAACUUAAUGCCUGUGACAUCCUUAAUAUGCACUAUUUAAAAUCAGGACCGAGUGUUUUAAAAAGUAGAUUUAAAUGAGAAUUUGUCUGCAAUUCAUGUUGUUGUUUUGUUAUGAACUUGUCUUUAGCAUUUUAGAUUUAAAUUUUGUGUAUCUAUGUUACUUCUGAUUACAUGCAAAUUGAGAGAUAAGUAAUUUGAUGGGUCACAUGUCUGGAUGAGAUUUGAGCUGUAGGGAAGGAGUUGUUUUGUUACUUUACAGGUCUGUUGUUUGGAAAAUGGCUUUGAUACAGAGUUGCAAAACCACAAAGUUUCAGGAAAUGUGUUUUGAAUGACCUCUUGCUGGUGUCCUAUAUCGAUUUGAAUGGGUUUGUAGAUGUUGUAUUCUUGCUAUGAUGUAAGUGUAUUACAUUGAUAAACCUUUGUAAAGAAACUAUAUACACGAGUUAUGUAUGCAUACACUUGAUUGUAACCUUUUACACCUACUCUGAAUUUGCUUUUAAUUGGUUGUAGAAGAAUGUUAAGCUAGCUUUCAACCGCUUAUGUACAGUCAGUAGUUUACACCCUUACCCCACAACUAUUCUUCAGAAAAACAGUGUGAACUGUAUAACCCUUUAUCAGUUUCAUCUUUCAGCAUCUAAGUGUAUUAUUGUCGAAAGGCAUGGUAAAUGACUGGAUGUUGUAUUUUCACAAAACAGAGUUAUUCCAUUAUUGCAACUGUAAAUUUUGGUUAUUAUAUUGAUCAUUCUUGAAAACCGCAACAUAGUAUCUGAAUGUUUUAUUUAAUAGUUGGUUUCUUAUACAAGUUUAAUGUUAAGCACUCUUAUUAAGUGUUUUUAGAUGUAUGCAGUAUACAUAUAUUUCUAUAGUGUUUGAUUGUUGGAAGGGUGGGGGGUUGUAACUGCUUUCUUUAGAUAUCUUUCAGCCUUGCUGGUUUAAUGAAUGGCUGCAAAACAGUAUGUGAGGAUAGACAGUUGUUUGUAUGACAUACUUUCAUACCGGUAUUUCUUAUUCAUAUAGAUCAUUCUUCAUGGUAUUCAUAUGUCAAACAUAUUUUGUAACUAACUUAAAUGUUUAAAAAUGAAUUGUAAAAUAAGUAUUAUUUAAGAUACUUGAUGUUAGUUGGCUUGCUGAUAUGUUUUAGAAUUAAAGGGUUGGGGAAGGGUUGUGUACUUACUCUGGAUCUUUCAGGCACUGGAGUUAACACAUUGGUCGUGUUUCUGAGAGGUAAAGCAUACUUUGAUUGAAAAACAAUUGGUACUCUUUGGUUGUAAUUUAUUUUCAGUCGUUUUUGUAACCAUGUAUACUAACCAUUACAAAAUAUUUACAUCACCUAUAAAUAUAUAGGCAUUUGCAGUUUUGUGUAACCCAUUCUUUUGAUUAUGCUCAUACAUGUGUGUGUAAUUAAUUUUGCUGUUAACAAAAGUCCUUCGCAUAAAUAAGUGUGUACCGGUAUUUUCCGCUUAGUGGUGCUAUGAAUUUUGUUCCUUGUCAAACUCUUAAACAGUAUUAGAAUUUUUUUAUUACCUAGCCCAUCCUUGUGUUUAGAAAUAACUUGUGUUUUGUAUUUGUGGCCUUUGUUAUUUCUGCUUUGCACAAAAAUAUUGUGGUUCUUUUUUUAGAAUGACAUCUAAGUCCUAUUUAUCUUCAUGUUGUACUUUAAAGUUGUUCAGGUGGUUGUUCAGAGUAAUUAGUUUUCUAUGUAAAUUAAUUUCCUUGUUUUGUGCGUUUGGAUGACAGCUCCUUUUCAGGUUAUCACCAUCCUUGCCAGUGCUUAGUACCUUCAAAGAAGCACACAUCAUGAUCCCUGCUCCAACAAGCCCCAUCACACAGGAAGUCAGAUAGAUAUGCUAAGCAAGUGUAGUAUAUAGCCAUUUAAAGGACAUUCCCAUUUUGGCCAUUGCAAAUCUGUAUUAGUGUCAGGGGGGUGAGUCAACACCCUUUGCUGGUCUUGAGCCAUGGGAAAUCCUACCUCCCCCUCCCACAGGGAGUAGGGUUGGGUAGCCCGCUCGCAGCCUUUUACCUGACCAUUCGGCUCAAAAACAUGUCAAAAUCAGUUAUUUAGGGAUUUUCUUUUCUUUUUAAAUGUUUUAUUUUCUUGUUUUAACCUUUUACCACUUAGAUACGUAUUUUAACUAUUUUUACGCAUUUGAAUUCCCUAAGGAAGUUCUAUUUAUAAGACCAUUUUUAUUAGAUUCAAGUUUUCAAGGCCGCUUCUCAAAACCUUAGAUACUGAUGAGCAGCAAACGGCAUAAAACCUGAACAGACUGCGAGUUACGCAGGCUGUUCUGGUUUUAUGCUGUUUGCACAUAGCCAUUUUUACUUUGCUUCUAAGUGGGAAAGAGUUAAGAUUGGAUAUUUUACCUUAUAAUUUUGUAAAUUAAUUAAUUUGUUUACAUGAUUCUUUUAAACAUAACAAGUUUUUAAUGUCAAGUAAACACAAAAAGUGCUCAACAAUUUAUACAAAAAAAAUACAUGUUUGAAGUUUUUUUGUUUUUGUUUUGGCAUGGUUGAAUCAAAGUGCUAUUGUAAAACACACUGUGAUAAAUCUAAGGUUUAAAUAAACACGCUAGGAAACAGA